rnacentral:rRNA from 1 species
CCCACUUUGAAAUUCGAGCAGUUAAAAAGCUCGUAGUUGAACACUGCUGCAUUGCUGUGUCCCUCUGGAGUCUGUGCRUGUGGCUUUUUUCGGACGGAGUUUCUUUGUCUGAAUGUUUACUUUGAGAAAAUUAGAGUGCUCAAAGCAGGCUUUCGCCUUGAAUAGUUUAGCAUGGAAUAAUAAAGUAGGACUUUGGUUCUAUUUUGUUGGUUUUAGGUACCAAAGUAAUGGUUAAUAGGAACAGUUGGGGGCAUUCGAAAAGUUGGGGGCAUUCGA